CAGGUCAUUCCUGUUGCAUUCAUAAAAUCUCGCUCAAACAGCUCUGCGAGAGCGACGGCACUUGAAAAGGGUUCUACGAAAGGAAUUUGUUGCCGUCCUAAAAGUCGAGAGCGCGGCGCCAGACCUGAAUAACCUGAAUCACCUCAAAAAGUUUUCCUGCCUCCCUGCAUUGUUUUAGGCAGGCAGCAGAUACUGAGUGGGUGUAACAGAGAGCAGCUGUAUCCUUUUCCAAGCGGCUUCCCAGGAACAUUAAUGUCACAGAAACCCAAGACCCAACUGGUGGUAUUUCCAGUUUGGGCCUGUGGUUUGACUCCUGCGAUUCAGAGGCACCAGGAAACCGGUGAGAAGACUAAUGAGGAAAUCAUGACUCAGGGUUGUUGCCUAGUAUCUGUAGCUGGAUUCAUUUGGACUAUUCAGUUUUAUACUUUAUGACCACACACUGCAGCUAAACCUUCUGCCAAUUGUUAUGCACACGUCUGACGUCACCACCCAUUCUCCCUGCAGCACAGCUGACACGCUUCAUCACCACUUUCUGUAAAGGAUGUUUGUACUCAGCUGAAAUACAGGCAUCAUCAUCUGGGGAGUUGAUAACCUUUUGUUGUUCCAGUAAAUGUCUUGUGGAACGUUCUGCAUGGUGGCCAGUCCCUCACUUUAAUGGCCUCUUGAUCAUCUAAUCAGAGAUCUCAAAUCCAGGCCUUGAGGGCCGGUGCCCUGCAGCUUUUAGCUGUGCAGGCAGUUCAACACACCUCAGUCAAAUGUACAUCUCUCAGUACGCAGUCAAGUUCUCCAGAUAAUGACCUGAUUAUUGACUCAGGUGAGUUGAAGCAUCUAAAACCUGCAGGACAUUCGGCCAUGUUUUAUUCCUAAGUUGUUCAUCACAACCAUGAUGUGUCAACACCAUAACUGACUAUUUACAAGGGUUUGAUGAGAUUUGGUGAAAUAAAUGCUUAAUUUUAGUAUACUGUAAAGAUUUCAUGGACCUGAUGAGCCUCCUUCAGAAUAGCAUCGUAUAAAGUUUGGCAUUUUGUCAACUCCGUGAGAGUUUAUAACUGACAGUCCGACUCUUUCAGUGAUAGUGUUGACAAAUCUCACUUAAGUGUGCAGUUAAUUCAUUUUAAUGUAUUUUACAUAAGUGGCAUUACUUCACAUGUAUCAAGUAUUUCAUUUUACUCACUAGUUUGUCACCACCUUCAGUUCUGUGUCAACUCCGUCAUGCACUAACUCUGUCAGAUGGACUUUAUGUUGUUUUUUGUUUUAAAUAUUUCUUUUGUUUCUUGAGAAGCAUUUGUCUGUAAAACUCAGUAAAAUGUCACUAAUAGGGUCAUUAAAAAAAAUAAUUUUAUAUGUUUUUUUGUCAGAUGGUGAUGACAGAGUUCUGGAUCAGGUCCAUUAAAAAUGUAAUUUUCAAAAGAAUGUUACAACUGGGAGUCUGCACCUUGGCAUCUUUACAUUUCCAAACCAUUAUUUGUCAUAUUUGAAUACAUAAGCUUGAGGAAUAAUAACAUUUUUUGGGGGGAAUAUUUAAACCCAUUUUGUCCCACUUUUCAAGAAUCACUGAGAUGCAAACUUUAGCACUGCUAGUGCUAUCGCUAACAUUGUUUUGCUCUAUGCCCAACACACAGCUAUUCAUGCUCCACAUUGACAGCACAUGCAAAUAAGCAAUGAAAAUGAUUUGGCAAAGGAGAAAUUAAUUUUGCCCACAUGCCUGUGCCGCCCCCCUGGACUGGUGGCACCCUGGGCAUUGAGCCAUAAUGGAUAUGAAAAACCACUGUCAAACUGAGAAUAAUUUUUAAAAGUAAGGAAAUUAUGAGAUUCAUGUUCUGCAAAUGAAAUAUCUGCUGAUGUAGGCUGACGGCCGUUUGAUAAAGCAUGUCAGUCUAAAGACAUACUUUGAAUUCUUUCAUUACAUCACUCCUUGGAAGCAUACUGCUCGUUCAAUAGCUUCACAUUUCCUGCUAAACUUUCACCUGUGGAGGUGUAUGGACAGGACUGAAACCCCAGCCGCCCACACAGUUACUGUCUAGCUGAUGCCUUUUUAAUUCAUCUGAAUAGUUUUUAUGCACCUGCCUCUUCAUUCGUCCGUCCACGGUGUGUAACCGCUUCUCUUUGCAGGGUCGCACAGCUGUGGAGGUCAUGAGUCCAUCACAGACAACGAGUCCGGAGUUAAACUGAGAAUCAAACAAAUGGGAAUGUGGAAUUAACACACAAUAAAAGAGAAUACUUGUAGGUAAGAGACAGAGAACAGCUCAGUGUGGGCGAGAGAAUGAGUUUCAAGAAAACGAGAAACAGCUGGAAGGAGACUGACGGAUCCUAACACAAGGGGGCAGACACGACGACAGGAACAAAAAUAACUAGAACUAAGAGAAGAUCUACUGUACAAGAAAACACACGUCGAGAAAACAAACUAAACAUGAAUCUGCAAAUCCACAAGAGCAGAAGCU